rnacentral:rRNA from 1 species
ACUCCUACGGGAGGCAGCAGUGGGGAAUAUUGCACAAUGGGGAAACCCUGAUGCAGCCAUGCCGCGUGUGUGAAGAAGGCCUUCGGUUGUAAAGCACUUCAGUAGGGAGGAAGGUAGUGUAGUUAACACCUGCACUAUUUGACGUUACCUACAGAAGAAGCACCGGCUAACUCCGUGCCAGCAGCCGCGGUAAUACGGAGGGGUGCGAGCGUUAAUCGGAAUUACUGGGCGUAAAGCGCAUGCAGGCGGCCUGUUAAGUCAGAUGUGAAAGCCCGGGGGCUUAACCUCGGAAUUGCAUUUGAAACUGGCAGGCUAGAGUCUUGUAGAGGGGGUAGGAAUUUCAGGUGUAGCGGUGAAAUGCGUAGAGAUCUGAAGGAAUACCAGUGGCGAAGGCGGCCCCCUGGACAAAGACUGACGCUCAGAUGCGAAAGCGUGGGGAGCGAAACAGGAUUAGAUACCCUGGUAGCACAGAG